rnacentral:lncRNA from 1 species
AAGGAAGAUGAUAGAGCUCAGGAGUAUUCCACCUACAGCUUGCAUGAAAUGUGGCAUAUCUGACCACUAAGUGAAAAAUGCCCUUGACCUUGCCUGAAACCAGGACCCUGUCCAAAUGUGGAAAAGCAGGGCAAUGAGAAGUUAGGCGUCACUUAGACAAGAAGGAGCAGCAGAAGAAGCAAAGGCAGAGGAUGAGGAGGAGGAAAGAACAAGCAGAAGGAACAGGAAGACCAGGAGGACCAAAGCAACCAGGAAGAGGAGUAGAAAAAAUGAUGAGUGACUGUGUCUAAGUUUAUGGGAAGAGUUUGAUGGGGUAGAAAUACUGGUAAACAAUACUUAAACAUGAAAUUCCAGUAAAAUUAGUGAAAUAUAUCAGAAAGCCUUCAAAGUCCUGGAAAAAAUCAUAUAAAGAAUAUAUAGUAAAUUAAAUUGCUAAUUCUACCUUCUUAGAUCUAUUGCUCAUUUGAAAAUUAUUUCAAAAAUUUUCUACUCCACUUAAAAGUACAUCUCUUAGAGUCAUGCACUAUAUGUUAAGACUGUUUAGAUUGG